UACGAAGGGGGCUAGCGUUGCUCGGAAUCACUGGGCGUAAAGCGCACGUAGGCGGACUCUUAAGUCGGUGGUGAAAUCCUGGAGCUCAACUCCAGAACUGCCUUCGAUACUGGGAGUCUCGAGUCCGAGAGAGGUGAGUGGAACUGCGAGUGUAGAGGUGAAAUUCGUAGAUAUUAGGAAGAACACCAGUGGCGAAGGCGGCUCACUGGUCCGGUACUGACGCUGAGGUGCGAAAGCGUGGGGAGCAAACAGG
rnacentral:rRNA from 1 species